GAUGAACGCUGGCGGCGUGCCUAAUACAUGCAAGUCGAGCGAACAGAUGAGGAGCUUGCUCCUCUGACGUUAGCGGCGGACGGGUGAGUAACACGUGGAUAACCUACCUAUAAGACUGGGAUAACUUCGGGAAACCGGAGCUAAUACCGGAUAAUAUAUUGAACCGCAUGGUUCAAUAGUGAAAGACGGUUUUGCUGUCACUUAUAGAUGGAUCCGCGCCGCAUUAGCUAGUUGGUAAGGUAACGGCUUACCAAGGCAACGAUGCGUAGCCGACCUGAGAGGGUGAUCGGCCACACUGGAACUGAGACACGGUCCAGACUCCUACGGGAGGCAGCAGUAGGGAAUCUUCCGCAAUGGGCGAAAGCCUGACGGAGCAACGCCGCGUGAGUGAUGAAGGUCUUCGGAUCGUAAGACUCUGUUAUUAGGGAAGAACAAAUGUGUAAGUAACUAUGCACGUCUUGACGGUACCUAAUCAGAAAGCCACGGCUAACUACGUG
rnacentral:rRNA from 1 species